UGGUUCUAGCAUCGAUGAAGAACGCAGCGAAAUGCGAUAAGUAAUGUGAAUUGCAGAAUUCAGUGAAUCAUCGAAUCUUUGAACGCACAUUGCGCCUGCUAGUAUUCUGGCAGGCAUGCCUGUUCGAGCGUCAUUUCAACUCUCAAGCCCUGGCUGCUUGGUGUUGGGGCAUCUACAGCGCGCUGUAGGCUCCGAAAGAUAGUGGCGGUCUCGCUAAGACUCCGAGCGUAGUAGUAAUUUCCUCGCUUAGGAUGUCUGCGCGUGUGCCAGCCGUUAAACCCCCUAUUUUUACGGUGGUUUGACCUCGGAUCAGGUAGGAAUACCCGCUGA
rnacentral:misc_RNA from 1 species